rnacentral:rRNA from 1 species
GACGAACGCUGGCGGCGUGCUUAACACAUGCAAGUCGAGCGGUAAGGCCCUUUCGGGGGUACACGAGCGGCGAACGGGUGAGUAACACGUGGGUGACCUGCCCUCAGCUCUGGGAUAAGCCUGGGAAACUGGGUCUAAUACUGGAUAUGACUCCACGGUGCAUGUCGGUGGGGUGGAAAGCCUUGUGCGGCUGAGGAUGGGCCCGCGGCCUAUCAGCUUGUUGGUGGGGUGAGGCCUACCAAGGCGACGACGGGUAGCCGGCCUGAGAGGGCGACCGGCCACACUGGGACUGAGACACGGCCCAGACUCCGUACGGGAGGCAGCAGGUGGGGAAUCUUGCGCAAUGGGCGAAAGCCUGACGCAGCGACGCCGCGUGAGGGAUGACGGCC